rnacentral:rRNA from 1 species
UACGAAGGGGGCUAGCGUUGUUCGGAAUUACUGGGCGUAAAGCGCGCGCAGGCGGUUCUCCAAGUCAGUGGUGAAAGCCCGGAGCUCAACUCCGGAACUGCCAUUGAAACUGUUGAACUUGAGGACGAGAGAGGUGAGUGGAAUUCCCAGUGUAGAGGUGAAAUUCGUAGAUAUUGGGAAGAACACCGGUGGCGAAGGCGGCUAUCUGGACUGUGAUUGACGCUGAGGCGCGAAAGCGUGGGGAGCAAACAGG